AAAAUAUGAACAGAUACAGCUUCAUGCUUUCAGGAAACCACCUUCUCUUCCAUCUUCUCCUUUGGCCUGCUCAGACAGCCAGACUUCUUAAACAUAUUUUUCCUACAGGCUCAUGCAAAUUAAGGGAUGUGGCUGAGCAUCUCCUUCAGUGCCCUCAAACAGGUCAUGAAUGUUGCAAAGCCCAGAAUCGUGCUAACCUGGUAGAAGGCUGGUUUAGCCAGAACACACAGAGAGGACCUUCUCAUGAUGGUGUGGCUGAAUUCCACAUGUCACUAACAGUAUCUUGCCCUGACCCGACUCCAAGUACUGAUCCCCAAGGAAGGCAUAAUAGAGAGCCCAUCUUGGGGAGGGAUGAUGACUUCAUGUGCAAACAAGUCAAAUUCAGGAUGUGUGUUGUGGGCAGAGAUGGCAAUGCCCAGUCAUCUGUUAGGUAUACAGGUCCGCUGUACAGGAGAAAAAUCAGAACAGAAUUUCUAUUUGUAGUGUUUCUUUUAGAGACUAGGGAAUUGAAACCACAGGUGAAUAAGAAUGUACAAGGAACCAGGCCUUCUUGAAGAAAUAGCUGAACCAGAUUGGUGUCAGGAGCUGUACAAGGGGAUCCAAGAAUGUCUUGUCAUACAAGCCGGACAGCUAUUAAAGACAACUGAGGUCAUGGCAAAAGGGCCCAGGCUUCUACUGGCCAACAAUGAGACAAUUUGAGCAUCCCAAAGAAUAAUGACUUUAGUGGACUGAAACACAUCAACAUGUAUACAUCCAUGAAUUCAUAAUACUCAAAACGGUAAAACCAAACUCAUUUGUUACCUUUGGAGGAGUCUGUCACCUCUGAUUAUUCUGAAAACUGGUAAAUAGAAGGGGAAAAUUCAAGCAUUUAUUCUGCUUUUCUUGUAUAAACUGUACCUCACAGUUACGGAAGAGCUGAUAAGGGAAAUGUCUUCUUUAUUGAAAAAUUCAGCUGAUACAUUUGGAAGGAAUGAGAGAAUUACAGUACCACCAUUAGGUGACAAUGAGGGUCUGGUUUUUUAUUUUUCUUUUGCUGAGUGCUGGGAACAUAGUGAUAACAAAAAAAGCCAUAGUGUUCUGGCCCUUCUGGAGUUUUGAUUCUAGCACAUUAACCAAAUAAUCCCAGAGCAAAAAUAAAAUGUCAACUAUGGUAAGUGUAGAGAAGGGAAAAUACACAGAACUUUUAACAGCUUAGAUCCGAGGAAGCUGACCAGCCUGCAAAAAGGGACAGCUUCCCUAGGGAAGUGACUUUGCAGCUGUGAUGAUGGAUGACUAAGAGUUAACCAAGGAAUGGGAGGAGGGAGGAGGAGACAGAGAAGGCUUUCCAAGCAGAAGCCAGAGCAUGUGCAAAGAUCCUGUGGCAAGAAGGAGCCUGGUGCAGGGGAGGAACGAAGAGACAUGCAAGCUGGCUGGAGUGCAGAGAGGGAGACAGGCAGGCAGGCAGGUGGUUGGAUGGGGAGGCAAGGAUCAGAUCCUGAGUCCCUUGGAGAAGCAGGAAGGCAUCAUGAUGACUAAUGUCAGAGGCAGGGGAGGACAGGUAGGGAUAGACAGGGAAGCAGUGCUGGGAAGAUGCUAAAAUGCUGCAGUUUGUGCUUGGAAAGAUCAUGGCCUGGUUCUUCCAUUGUCAUGAUGGGUUGUUCUCUUUCUUAUUGUUUUUCUAAUUUGUCUUGACUAAUGGAGAAGAUCAGGAGCUCAAAAAUAGAGGUUGUUUACAGCACUCAGUUUGGCUGCUAUAGGUUAAUGGGCUUAGACUCUUUAAGGGGAUUAGGCUUUUGCUCAGAGACCAGUGGAGUAUUCUAGCCAGGCUGUCUUGUGAAGGUGGUAUGUUAAGAACUAGGUUUGUCUGAUUUCUCAAAUUAAAAUGUGGUACAUCAAAUUAAAUUUGAAUUUCAGAUAAAUAACAACUAAUUUCAGAUGUGUCAGAUAAAGAAUGGAUAUGGCUCUAGUACAAUAUGGGAUAAUGAAUAUUUUCAGAUAAAUAGAUGCCCUGUAUUCUGUGUAGCAAGCAUAACUAGAGAAUCAAUGUUAGUGCUCAAACUAAGAAGACUUUUGAGAAAUUAUCAGAGGUAAAUACAAAUAUACAUUUCCAUCCAUCCAUCCAUCCAUCCAUCCAUCCAUCCAUCCAUCCAUCCAUCCAUCCCUGUUGAGCUCCAACUAUGUGUCAGGCACUUCUGGGGGGUUGAGGGUAUUGUGAUCAGUAAGACAAACUCUCUGCCUUUAUAGUGUUUACAUUCUAGGAGAAAAAUAUUCAUCUUAGAGAGAUUAUAAAAAACAAAUCUUCCGAAAUAGUAUCUGUUACGUCCAAAAUAGAGGAAUGUAUAAAUAAAUGUUAAUAUGAUGGACUAACACGCAGCCAUUACAAAAAUCCUGUUUUGAAGGCUAUUAAAUGUCAUGGUGAAUUGAUUCCAAUAUAAAACCAAAUGAAAUAAAAGCAGUUCACAAAACCA
ensembl:lncRNA LINC02656 long intergenic non-protein coding RNA 2656